CCAAUCAGGAGGUGUCAUCUGGCGUGUGAAGUCCUUUUUAGUAAUAAGCGGCCGCGAGCCGGCUCAGUCCUUGUCCGGUUUUCAUCAGGAGCAGUUGGCUCCGUGUCAUCCUUCUCUGCGUCGGCGCUCGCCGCGCGAUCGCUGGGCGCGGGCCCCCACUUGCCUGCCGCUGCCGACACAACAUCUUUUGGCGACGAGGAUGGGAUUCCCGCUGCGGUUCCGACCGAAGCCCCGGGAAACCAACGAGCUUCGGUCUGCAAAUGGCAAUGACGUAGCACUGGGGUCCGAGGCAGAGCCCCUUCACGGCGACUACGAGGUGCUGGCCAUAGCUCCAGAGCUACAUGCCAGUGCUUCGGAAAACGGCAUGCAGACCCUCAUUUGGAGUUUUUUG